GUGCCAGCCGCCGCGGUAAUACGGGGGGGGCAAGCGUUGUUCGGAAUUACUGGGCGUAAAGGGCUAGUAGGCGGCCAACUAAGUCCGACGUGAAAUCCCUAGGCUUAACCUAGGAACUGCGUCGGAUACUGGAUGGCUUGAAUCCGGGAGAGGGAUGCGGAAUUCCAGGUGUAGCGGUGAAAUGCGUAGAUAUCUGGAGGAACACCGGUGGCGAAGGCGGCAUCCUGGACCGGCAUUGACGCUGAAUAGCGAAAGCCAGGGGAGCAAACGGGAUUAGAAACCCCUGUAGUCC
rnacentral:rRNA from 1 species